rnacentral:rRNA from 4 species
GAGCGACCCCAGGUCAGGCGGGAACACCCGCUGAGUUUAA